GUGGGGAAUUUUGGACAAUGGGGGCAACCCUGAUCCAGCAAUGCCGCGUGCAGGAAGAAGGCCUUCGGGUUGUAAACUGCUUUUGUACGGAACGAAACGGUCCUGGUUAAUACCUGGGGCUCAUGACGGUACCGUAAGAAUAAGCACCGGCUAACUACGUGCCAGCAGCCGCGGUAAUACGUAGGGUGCAAGCGUUAAUCGGAAUUACUGGGCGUAAAGCGUGCGCAGGCGGUUUUGUAAGACAGGCGUGAAAUCCCCGGGCUCAACCUGGGAAUGGCGCUUGUGACUGCAAGGCUGGAGUGCGGCAGAGGGGGAUGGAAUUCCGCGUGUAGCAGUGAAAUGCGUAGAUAUGCGGAGGAACACCGAUGGCGAAGGCAAUCCCCUGGGCCUGCACUGACGCUCAUGCACGAAAGCGUGGGGAGCAAACAGGAUUAGAAACCCCGGUAGUCC
rnacentral:rRNA from 1 species